GACGAACGCUGGCGGCGUGCUUAACACAUGCAAGUCGAACGGAAAGGCCUUUUCGGAGGUACUCGAGAGGCGAACGGGUGAGUAACACGUGGGUGAUCUGCCCUGCACUCUGGGAUAAGCCUGGGAAACUGGGUCUAAUACCGGAUAGGACCGCACUUUAGUGUGUGUGGUGGAAAGUUUUUUCGGUGUAGGAUGAGCCCGCGGCCUAUCAGCUUGUUGGUGGGGUAAUGGCCUACCAAGGCGGCGACGGGUAGCCGGACUGAGAGGUUGGUCGGCCACAUUGGGACUGAGAUACGGCCCAGACUCCUACGGGAGGCAGCAGUGGGGAAUAUUGCACAAUGGGCGCAAGCCUGAUGCAGCGACGCCGCGUGGGGGAUGACGGCCUUCGGGUUGUAAACUCCUUUCGCCAGGGACGAAGCGUUUUGUGACGGUACCUGGAGAAGAAGCACCGGCUAACUACGUG
rnacentral:rRNA from 1 species